CCAACGGUUCUUUUCAGUGCCACCAAAAUUUCGAACAAAGAGCAUU
rfam:Danio rerio chromosome 25, GRCz11 reference primary assembly.